CAAGACUUCCUUCGUGCUGCUACCCUCUGCUUAGAUUUUGCACGGGAGCGCCCAAAUUUCAUAGGGUUGCUUUCAAGGAGGGAUAUUGAGGCUGUUGUAUCAAAUGGGACACCAUUUUUGUUCAAAGGUGCUCUGGAAACGGCAAGAAGAAUGAGGGCAUUCUUGGGUAUUGACGGGAGCACUGUGCUGGAUCAUGGCAACGCUAACACGGUUGAUCUCAUGAAAUACAUAUUAUGUUACGCGAGUAAACCCUCUGUUUCUUCAG
rnacentral:misc_RNA from 1 species